rnacentral:rRNA from 1 species
GAUGGACCCGCGUUGGAUUAGCUUGUUGGUGGGGUAACGGCCCACCAAGGCGACGAUCCAUAGCCGGCCUGAGAGGGUGAACGGCCACAUUGGGACUGAGACACGGCCCAGACUCCUACGGGAGGCAGCAGUGGGGAAUAUUGCACAAUGGGGGAAACCCUGAUGGUGCGACGCCGCGUGGGGGAAUGAAGGUCUUCGGAUUGUAAACCCCUGUCAUGUGGGAGCAAAUUAAAAAGAUAGUACCACAAGAGGAAGAGACGGCUAACUCUGUGCCAGCAGCCGCGGUAAUACAGAGGUCUCAAGCGUUGUUCGGAAUCACUGGGCGUAAAGCGUGCGUAGGCGGUUUCGUAAGUCGUGUGUGAAAGGCGGGGGCUCAACCCCCGGACUGCACAUGAUACUGCGAGACUAGAGUAAUGGAGGGGGAACCGGAAUUCUCGGUGUAGCAGUGAAAUGCGUAGAUAUCGAGAGGAACACUCGUGGCGAAGGCGGGUUCCUGGACAUUAACUGACGCUGAGGCACGAAGGCCAGGGGAGCGAAAGGGAUUAGAUACCCCUGUAGUCCUGGCAGUAAACGGUGCACGCUUGGUGUGCGGGGAAUCGACCCCCUGCGUGCCGGAGCUAACGCGUUAAGCGUGCCGCCUGGGGAGUACGGUCGCAAGAUUAAAACUCAAAGAAAUUGACGGGGACCCGCACAAGCGGUGGAGUAUGUGGCUUAAUUCGAUGCAACGCGAAGAACCUUACCUGGGCUUGACAUGUAAUGAACAACAUGUGAAAGCAUGCGACUCUUCGGAGGCGUUACACAGGUGCUGCAUGGCCGUCGUCAGCUCGUGUCGUGAGAUGUUUGGUUAAGUCCAGCAACGAGCGCAACCCCUGUUGCCAGUUACCAGCACGUAAAGGUGGGGACUCUGGCGAGACUGCCCAGAUCAACUGGGAGGAAGGUGGGGACGACGUCAGGUCAGUAUGGCCCUUAUGCCCAGGGCUGCACACGUACUACAAUGCCCAGUACAGAGGGGGCCGAAGCCGCGAGGCGGAGGAAAUCCUAAAAACUGGGCCCAGUUCGGACUGUAGGCUGCAACCCGCCUACACGAAGCCGGAAUCGCUAGUAAUGGCGCAUCAGCUACGGCGCCGUGAAUACGUUCCCGGGUCUUGCACACACCGCCCGUCA